GCCCCGGACGUCCAGACCUCCCUGCAGGCUAGCAAUGAUGGCGGAGAGCAACGGGGAGCAAAUGAAGCCCCGUCAAAUGGAAACCGAGAGACAAAGUCGGACCAAGAAAGCUCUGAGAGUAACGAUGUCAAGAGCAGUAAGUCCGAGUCCAUCGAGGUGGUGGACUCCCAGAG